UGGGGAAUAUUGGACAAUGGACCAAGAGUCUGAUCCAGCAAUUCUGUGUGCACGAUGAAGUUUUUCGGAAUGUAAAGUGCUUUCAGUUGGGAAGAAAAAAAUGACGGUACCAACAGAAGAAGUGACGGCUAAAUACGUGCCAGCAGCCGCGGUAAUACGUAUGUCACGAGCGUUAUCCGGAUUUAUUGGGCGUAAAGCGCGUCUAGGUGGUUAUGUAAGUCUGAUGUGAAAAUGCAGGGCUCAACUCUGUAUUGCGUUGGAAACUGUAUAACUAGAGUACUGGAGAGGUAAGCGGAACUACAAGUGUAGAGGUGAAAUUCGUAGAUAUUUGUAGGAAUGCCGAUGGGGAAGCCAGCUUACUGGACAGAUACUGACGCUGAAGCGCGAAAGCGUGGGGAGCAAACAGGAUUAGAUACCCUGGUAGUCCACGCCGUAAACGAUGAGUGCUAGGUGUUAGACCCUUUCCGGGGUUUAGUGCCGCAGCUAACGCAUUAAGCACUCCGCCUGGGGAGUACGACCGCAAGGUUG
rnacentral:rRNA from 1 species